GAUGAACGCUGGCGGCGUGCCUAAUACAUGCAAGUCGAGCGAACAGAUGAGGAGCUUGCUCCUCUGACGUUAGCGGCGGACGGGUGAGGAACACGUGGAUAACCUACCUAUAAGACUGGGAUAACUUCGGGAAACCGGAGCUAAUACCGGAUAAUAUAUUGAACCGCAUGGUUCAAUAGUGAAAGACGGUUUUGCUGUCACUUAUAGAUGGAUCCGCGCCGCAUUAGCUAGUUGGUAAGGUAACGGCUUACCAAGGCAACGAUGCGUAGCCGACCUGAGAGGGUGAUCGGCCACACUGGAACUGAGACACGGUCCAGACUCCUACGGGAGGCAGCAGUAGGGAAUCUUCCGCAAUGGGCGAAAGCCUGACGGAGCAACGCCGCGUGAGUGAUGAAGGUCUUCGGAUCGUAAAACUCUGUUAUUAGGGAAGAACAAAUGUGUAAGUAACUAUGCACGUCUUGACGGUACCUAAUCAGAAAGCCACGGCUAACUACGUG
rnacentral:rRNA from 1 species